rnacentral:rRNA from 1 species
AGACCCGAAACCCGGUGAUCUAGCCAUGGGCAGGUUGAAGGUUGGGUAACACUAACUGGAGGACCGAACCGACUAAUGUUGAAAAAUUAGCGGAUGACCUGUGGCUGGGGGUGAAAGGCCAAUCAAACCGGGAGAUAGCUGGUUCUCCCCGAAAGCUAUUUAGGUAGCGCCUCGUGAAUUCAUCUCCGGGGGUAGAGCACUGUUUCGGCUAGGGGGCCAUCCCGGCUUACCAACCCGAUGCAAACUGCGAAUACCGGAGAAUGUUAUCACGGGAGACACACGGCGGGUGCUAACGUCCGUCGUGAAGAGGGAAACAACCCAGACCGCCAGCUAAGGUCCCAAAGUCAUGGUUAAGUGGGAAACGAUGUGGGAAGGCCCAGACAGCCAGGAUGUUGGCUUAGAAGCAGCCAUCAUUUAAAGAAAGCGUAAUAGCUCACUGGUCGAGUCGGCCUGCGCGGAAGAUGUAACGGGGCUAAACCAUGCACCGAAGCUGCGGCAGCGACGCUGAUGCGUUGUUGGGUAGGGGAGCGUUCUGUAAGCCUGUGAAGGUGUGUCGUGAGGCAUGCUGGAGGUAUCAGAAGUGCGAAUGCUGACAUA